GACAGAGGGUGCAAACGUUGUUCGGAAUUACUGGGCGUAAAGCGCGUGUAGGCGGCUGCGCAAGUCGGGUGUGAAAGCCCUGGGCUCAACCCAGGAAGUGCACUCGAAACUGCGUAGCUGGAGUCUCGGAGAGGGAGGCGGAAUUCUGGGUGUAGAGGUGAAAUGCGUAGAUAUCUGGAGGAACACCGGUGGCGAAGGCGGCAUCCUGGACCAAUAUUGACGCUGAGGAGCGAAAGCCAGGGGAGCAAACGGG
rnacentral:rRNA from 1 species